AUGUUGUUCUGUUCACUUUUACUCUUCUUUAACUUGAUAGGUCUCAGUUCUGAACAGGUAUUAACACCCUACACUGAUGUAGAAGUGGCUUCAGAAAGGGAAAGAGUUACUCUCUCUUGUAACUACACCUCUUCUAGUGUCACUCUUCAAUGGUAUCGACAAUAUCCCAAAUCAGCACCACAGUUACUGGUUAUGGAACACGUGCCUGCAAAAACACCAGAGUUCACUCUAAAUCAUGACAAAAAAGCCAAACGUGUGGAUCUGGAGAUCUCCUCUGCUGAAGUGACAGACUCUGCUCAGUACUACUGUGCCCUGACAGCCACUGUGACAGGAAACCCAGAAACACUGCACAAAAACCUUCAUAUGUGAUUCAUACAAUAAUGGAGGGAAUCUAUUCCACCCCCCACC